CCGGCCCCGCUCCGGCGGCUGGCUCCUGCCGCCGUGCAGUGUCGGAAGGGCUUGCUUAAACGCGUUCCGGCUAUGGAUAGCAUUAUUGACAGUAGCGUUGUUCUGGAAAAGGCUCUCCUUCGGGCCCUCAAACGCGUGCUGCGGGCGAGGAGGGAUUUUUAGAAGGGUCUGGAGCACACGUCAGAUGAGGAGCAGCUGCGGGAACUGGGAAUGUUUGGCCGGGAGAGGAGGAGGCUCGGGAACACCUUCUCGCUCUUGACAGCUUCCUGAAAGGAGCUCGUAGCCAGAGAAACAAGAACAGAUGGAUACUUCCUUAACACCUGCUGCUGUGGGAGUCUGCUGAAACACUUGCAAACUCUGCAGCCAGCCCCUGAAGAGUCCAUGCAGAAGCAAGUUUACCCUGAAGGACUACAGUCCAUGGAAGGGCAGAUGCUGGAGCAGAGGAAAACUAAGUGGAGGAAGGUGUGAGAAAGAGAAGCUUUUAUGGCCUGGGUGCAAUCCCCAUUCUUUCUGCACCAGACUGGGGGUAGGAGCGAGUUGGGAAUGAAAGAAUGAUGUGAAGCCUGAGAAAUGGGGGAUGAGAGUGGUGGAUGAGGCUUUACUUUUUCUUUAUUUUUCUUAC